rnacentral:lncRNA from 1 species
GAAUCCAUGACAAAUCGCCCCACUGGCAAAUCGCCCCACACCUAAUCGCCCUACUUUUUCACAAACUCGCCCCACUUUGUAAAAAAUCGCCCCAAUCUUGUUUACUUAUUCGCCCCACUAAUAAAAAAGUGUAAAAUCACAUUGCAAAUAGGUUGGACAACAUGCCCAACUUAUGCAAAGGGUUAAAAUUUUGCUGAAAUAAGGUCUGCCAACUCGCCCCACUCAUGACAAAUAGAUAAACCACGAUGAAUUUAUUAGUGCCAACUUGCCCCACUUAUGAAAAAUGAUGCAAUCCCGUUGUAUAUCUAUGUCCCUACCCCACUUCAAUACCUUUGAAAACCUUAGUGAAGGGCUAUAAAAUCAAAUUAAUGUUAAUUGAAAUCCUUAAAUUGUAUGAUUAUGAUACAAUUAACAGGUUUCUUUUCAAUUGUUAUACAAAUAACUAAGCUUACAAGUAUAAAGUUAUUCUCCAAUAAUGAUACGAAAAUGUAUUUGCAAUUAUAUUUUAAGAAUUUUAAACCUCAUUUGAUUUAAAAGAUAUUGGUUUAAUAAAUUUCGUUUUUUUUUUUUUUUUUGUAUUCUGUGUAGAUUAGUUUUCAUUUAAGUGGGGCUAGUUGGUAGAACUGAAAAUUAUAUAUUGAAGUAGAUUUUAAAUAAGUGGGGCGAGUUGACAGGGGAAAAGUUAACGGGAUUUAACCCUUUUCACAAGUGAGGCGAUUUUUCAAAAAAGUGGGGCGAGUUGGUAAACCAGAUUGGGGCGAUUUUGUUUAAAGUGGGGCGAGUUGGUGAAAAAUUGGGGCGAUUUGGUGUGGGGCGUUUUUCCAGUGGGGCGAUUUGUCCUGCUUCC